rfam:Coniosporium apollinis CBS 100218 chromosome Tnknown supercont1.23, whole genome shotgun sequence.
GGCCGGUUGGUCUAGUGGUGAUGAUGUCCGCUCCAUAUGUUGUACGAGUAGGUGUGCGAGUACGGUGUGUGGGCGUGCGGAAGACGGGGGUUCAAUUCCUCCACCGGCCA